rnacentral:rRNA from 1 species
UACGUAGGGUGCGAGCGUUUGUCCGGAAUUAUUGGGCGUAAAGGGCUCGUAGGCGGUUUGUCGCGUCGGGAGUGAAAUCCACUGGCUUAACUGGUGGCUUGCUUUCGAUACGGGCAGACUGGAGGUAUGCAGGGGAGAACGGAAUUCCUGGUGUAGCGGUGAAAUGCGCAGAUAUCAGGAGGAACACCGGUGGCGAAGGCGGGAUCCUGGGCCAGUACUGACGCUGAGGAGCGAAAGCGUGGGGAGCAAACAGG